rnacentral:rRNA from 1 species
AGAGUGAACGCUGGCGGUAGGCCUAACACAUGCAAGUCGAACGGCAGCACAGUGGUAGCAAUACCAUGGGUGGCGAGUGGCGGACGGGUGAGGAAUACAUCGGAAUCUACCUUUUCGUGGGGGAUAACGUAGGGAAACUUACGCUAAUACCGCAUACGCCCUUUGGGGGAAAGCCGGGGAUCGCAAGACCUGGCGCGGAUAGAUGAGCCGAUGUCGGAUUAGCUAGUUGGUGAGGUAAUGGCUCACCAAGGCGACGAUCCGUAGCUGGUCUGAGAGGAUGAUCAGCCACACUGGAACUGAGACACGGUCCAGACUCCUACGGAGGCAGCAUGGGGAAUAUUGGACAAUGGCGCAAGCCUGAUCCAGCCAUACCGCGUGGUGAAGAAGCUGGUUGUAAGUACCUUUGUUUAGGAAGUAAAAGGACAAGUACGUUAAUAACCGUUGUUACUGUACGUACC